rnacentral:rRNA from 1 species
GACGAACGCUGGCGGCGUGCUUAACACAUGCAAGUCGAACGGUGACGAAUGGAGCUUGCUCUGUUCUGAUCAGUGGCGAACGGGUGAGUAACACGUGAGUAACCUGCCCCUGACUCUGGAAUAACUUCGGGAAACCGAAGCUAAUACCGGAUAAUGACACAGAAGCCGCAUGGUUUCUGUGUGGAAAGUUUUUCGUUGGGGAUGGACUCGCGGCCUAUCAGCUUGUUGGUGAGGUAAUGGCUCACCAAAGGCGACGACGGGGUAGCCGGCCUGAGAGGGCGACCGGCCACACUGGGACUGAGACAGGCCCAGACUCCUACGGGAGCCAGCAGUGGGAAUAUUGCACAAUGGGCGAAAGCCUGAUGCAGCGACGCCGCGUGA